AACGAACGCUGGCGGCAGGCUUAACACAUGCAAGUCGAGCGCCCCGCAAGGGGAGCGGCAGACGGGUGAGUAACGCGUGGGAAUCUACCCAUCUCUACGGAAUAACGCAUGGAAACGUGUGCUAAUACCGUAUACGUCCUUAGGGAGAAAGAUUUAUCGGAGAUGGAUGAGCCCGCGUUGGAUUAGCUAGUUGGUGGGGUAAAGGCCUACCAAGGCGACGAUCCAUAGCUGGUCUGAGAGGAUGAUCAGUCACACUGGGCCUGAGACACGGCCCAGACUCCUACGGGAGGCAGCAGUGAGGAAUAUUGGACAAUGGGCGCAAGCCUGAUCCAGCCAUGCCGCGUGAGUGAUGAAGGCCCUAGGGUUGUAAAGCUCUUUCACCGGUGAAGAUAAUGACGGUAACCGGAGAAGAAGCCCCGGCUAACUUCGUGCCAGCCGCCGCAGUAACAC
rnacentral:rRNA from 1 species